CCCCAUGGAUCCGAGCUCCUCUGAGCACCGCGGGUGGAAGAAUCAGAGGCUUGGAUUCUCCAUCUGGCAGGGCGCGCGCGACAGGGGAUGGUUUCGUCUGCGAUCUCCAAUUUGCUUCUCGCCGGCAGGCAAGGUGGUGAUUUCUCAGAGUGGGAGCUUGGCCAUCAUCAGAUUGCAUAAGGAGGGCACAGGCACCGUCCCCCGAUGAAGAGCGAGUAAUGUCGGCGGUGGGUGACCGCAUUGCCUUGUUCAAUGCGCUGUUUGUUUGUUGUCUAGCCGGAAUGCCCACCACCUGCUCUACGCUCGUCCACCUCCGCUGUGAAUUUCCUGAUGCCCACCGAGGAUGGCUAUCUGAUUCGGGAUGGAGCACUGCUUGCGCGGCUACCACGGGGCAGGAAUGGAUGUAGUGGUGGGCCAAGGAACAGACAGACCCGCUUGGCGGGAUGGUCUGGUGCACACUGUGGUGACUGCGAAAGUUGCUUCUUACGGCGAACCGGUGGCAUGGUAGAGCACUACAAAGAGGAAAGGUUUAGCACACCAUUGGAGUGUCAACCGGAGAUCUUCACCAUCGCAUAACCUCAGGUUUGGUCUUUACUGUUUUCGAUCUCCUUAAACUUAAUUUUGCUCAUCCCAUUUGUAUACAUGGUUGAACAACACAAGUACAAUCUUCUUGUUCAUGAGUCUACAGUUGUGCUUUCCUUGUUUUUAUUUAUCUGCCCUUCUCAUUCUGCCUGACUUAUAGGCUUAUAGUUACUGCAGCACGUAAUGUCCAGUUAUUGCAUUCUAGUUUUCUACCAUGUUUUAGCAUGGUCGGAUUGGCAUUGCAUGUUCCUUCCAGCAAUUUCUUUAAAUCACUUAAGAUCACAACGGCCAGAAUAGCAAAACUCAGUGGAACCACACAUGGUUUUAGGAGGUAAGACAAAGUAUGUUGCAUGAUGACCAUCAAAAGGCACGUACAUAUCAAGUGAAGAAGAAGCAAACAGUCUGACAUUCUCAUAUUAUACCCAGUUAUACCUCAAACUCAAAGUUCAUCAAACAAUCACCAAAUUUUGAUUUACACACUAUCUAUAUUUACAAUCAUCUUCAAUAUCACAACACAAUGUGGUGGCCAUAGAGAAACCUUGAAGUUUCAUCACGGCAUUCUACAACUCAAAUAAAUAGCUUACAAAUUACAAAUGGCAAUAAAAAUAUACAUGCUCUAAGGUGAAUGCAGUUUUAGGAUUUUGGUGAUUCAGAUUUUGUAUGCCCAGGCUUGCCUAUGAUAGCUUUCUUCACUUUUGCUAGUUGGUGCUUUACCUUUGAUCCAACACCAGACAAGAUAUUAUGUUUUUUAGGUGAUGCCUUCUGUCCUGCUUCUCGUUCUUCAACUUUCAUUGCUCCUUCAUCAGUGAAAUUCUUGGCUUCCUCAUCACUCUUUGUCCUCUCGUCAUAACUCUUCUCUUCUGCCAUAUUUGAUCCAUCUUUCUUUGGACUUUGCUCUUCAUCUGUGCUGAAUUCUUCCUUUUUUAUGUCCACAAAAUUUUCUUCAGUCGCAGGAGCUUCUUUUGGUGAAAUCGCAUCGAGAUCAUGUUUCUGGUUAUGCGACGCCUUUUGUACUGCUACCUGUUCUUCAGUUUUCAGGGUCACAUCAUCGGUGAAAUUCUUAGCUUCCUCUUCAUCCUGUGUCUUCUUGUCACAAGUUUUCUCUUCAUUUGAUUCAGCUUUCUUUAGACUUUGUUCUUCAUCUGUGCUGAAUGUUGGCCUUGCCAUCUCCACAAAAUUUUCUUCAGCCUCAUGAGCUUCUUUUGGUGAAACCAAAUCGAGAUCACGUGCCUGAACCUGUGAAUUAAAUGUUCCUUGCUCUUCAUUGGAUAUUGUGUCCACUGUUUUCACAUGGCUUUCGACUGUUCUAUUCACAUUGUCUUCUUGGAUCAUAGGCUCUCUUAUGGUCAAGAAAUUCUGAUCACCUUCAUCAGAUUUUUUAGGAUUUUUUUGUGCAAUACCAGUUUCCUGUUCCUGCAAAUUAGGUUCUUCCGUCUUGUCUAGCAAGUUCUUCUCCACAAUCUGGUUGUCAGCAGAUUCAUCUUUCUUGUCUUGGUUCAUGUGCAUGCUUGGACUAUCUGACUGAAUUUCCAAAGCUUUCUCAGAGUUGUCUAUUACAUUGUUUGAGAACUUAUGGUUUUGCUUUUCAUCCAUGCAUUCUGAGCCUGCAGAAAUCUUCUUUUCAUGAACCAAACUUAUCUCAGUGCCACUAGCUGGUUCAGUUAUUUUGGGCGUCUGCUUAUCAGAUGUUUCUUCAGAACCUGUGCCUUUCUGUGAAUUGUCGUGCAAAAUUUCUAUCUGUUCUUCAGUAGCUCCACCUGUGGUUGUAUGCUGAUUCUCUUCUUCCUUGUCUACUUCAUUCUCCAGUUUUUCCCCAAUGACAGCGGACCCUUCUCUUCUUGUGCUGAGAGGACUUUCAAGAUCGUCAGUGUCAUUAGAAAAUUUCUUUUCAUCACCCAUAUCUAGUUCUGUUGACAAUAGUGUUUGGUCAGCCACUUCAGAACUUCUAUUUUCAGGCAAAGACUCAUGCUGGAGGUCUGUUCUUCCUUCCUCUAAUGUAUGCUCUUGAGAAGUCUUUGGACUUGUUGAAUCAUCAAGUGUGCUCUUCAAGCUUCCUUCUUCAAUAUCUGCUGUGGCUUCCACGUGUUCCUGACAAACAGAAUCAGUUGCCUUUUCACCCAGCUUGAGGUCCCUACUUUUGAUCUCUGUAACCAGGCCAGCUGCCUCACCAGGUACCAGUUCAAUAGAUUCAUCAUGGGGAUUAUUUUGGCAUACCGGUGAUUCCAAAUCAUGAGUGUUCCUGCUGAGCUCUUCACCAGUUUCCAGCUUGACAUCAUGUGUUUCUUCAGAGACUAUUUCUAGAUUCUGUUUUUCUUGUUCACCGAUGGAUUUUUCAUCUACCUUAUUUUCUGUAGGAAUUGGUACCAAGCUUUCUUCCUGUUGAGAGGUGAUCAAACCACUGUCAUCUUUUGUGGUUUCUUCUUGCUUCUUUUCAGCCUCAAAUGUAUUUCCAUCUGGAUCAUUGUUCUCUUUUCCCAUUAUCAGGUUCAUCAGAAAAUGUGAGACAGGCAAAUCACUUUCCUUUUCUUCUUUCUCUGUACCACCAAUUUCUUGCUCAUGUAUGUCCUCUUCAUCUUGUUCUUUGGCCAUUUGAGUCUCUUCAAGCUCUUCUGGUUUUUCAGUGGGGAAUGGCUUCUCUGGAGACAACAUCCCUCUUUCUGUCUCCUCUAAGCCAGAUGCCUGUUCAGUUGUGUUUCCAUCCAGUGUAGUGUGUGCAGGAAGAGCAAGCUUAUGAUGUUCCUCUUCUUCACUCGCAGUUUCUCCGGAUGCUGCAACUACAGAUGAAGCCUCAAGACUCCUUCUGUUGUCCUCAAAGGUCUCGAGAUUUUCAUCAGAUGGUGGCUCAUCAGCUCCGCUAGCCUAAAUUGGCAAAGUAUAAAUAGCUUAGAAAGAAUAUUUGUAUGUAAAUUAAUAAUAUGUAAGGAAUUUAACUACUGACCUCAUCGUAUAUAGCUUCAUUGAAUUUUACCACUUCAGUGAGUGCUGCAUAGCCAGUCUUCAUUUCCUCCUUUGAGUCAUUUUCAGCUUCUGCUCCAUUGUGCUCUGCUGCCAACUUUUCCUCUGCAACCUGAAUGGCAGAAUUUUUUUCCCGCUUAUUUUUUGUACUAUAAAAUCUUAUCAAGGGCAGAUUUAGCCAGAAUCUGGCCACAUGGGCUCGUUAAGAGUAUGGGUACUGACCUUUUGAUGAAUGCUUAAGUCCUGUUCAACAUCAUUCUGUUUAGAUGUUUCUACAGAAUAUUCUGAAAUGGAAUUGAAUCCCUUGUUUUCUUCCUUCUCUUCAAUUUCUGUGGGCUCUGCAUCUGUCCUUCCAUGUACCGUUUCUGCAUAGGGACUCAUGAUAUCAUGCAUUUUGAUAUCUGCACUGUAUGGUGAUUUAUUGGGAUGCAUUUCAGGUGCUUCUUCAUCUUCAGGUUUGGUCUGAAAUUCGUCAUGAUGAACAUUGACGUCUUCAUUUUGCAUUUCUUGCUUUUCUUCCACUUCAUCAGUGACCUCUUUCUCUGAUGGUUGAAUGGCCUGCUCAUCAUCAUUGACCAUGUUUUUGCAUUCUUUCUCCUCUCUGUGCACUCCGGAUUCAACAUUCUUAGGAAUCACUGCAUGAUUCUGCACAACAAAUAUGAUUGCUCAUUUUGCUGAUCAUUAUGAUAGCAUUAAAUAUGUAGAUGGAGAGUGACCAAUAUCUUUGUUUCAUGAACCGCAGAUUUAGAAACAAGCUAC
rnacentral:lncRNA from 1 species